GGGUGAGGUGCGGUGGCUUCUUUCUUUUCGGAAGCAAGAUGCCCAGCAGCCUCAGAAGCCAUGGUGAACUGUUAUAUUUGAAGACAACGACACAAGUUGAAAAUCACUUAAUCAGCUAGGGAGAAUCAUUUUUACCUGUUUUUGGAUUCAGUAUAGUCCCUGGGAAUCCCAGCAACCAACUGCCAUUGUCUCCACACUCAGACUUGUGCUCAAUUAUAAGCUCUCUCCACAUCUAAGAUGUUAUGUUUCCACACAGCUACUUUAAACAAUCAAAGAAAUUAAAAGAUCUUUG
rnacentral:lncRNA from 1 species